CCCAAGAAGAAACUCUUUUAUCUUAAAAGCCAGUUCACAUACUAGUUGCUUAGUUCUUGAAACAAUUAAUUCAAUUUCUUUAGAGGGAAGUCUCCAGUUACUUUGCCUGGGGAAAAAAAACUCCUGACUGAUGGCCAUUAUGUAUCUGGGAAGAGAAUGGGGCCAACUAUUUCAUGUAGACAUCUUCAUUUAACCUCUGUUUUCUAUGUCACAACUCAUUCUCAGUUCUCCCUGGCUUUUCUAGUAUCUUGAUAUAGGGUCUCGCCUCAGCCCUGGCUCCUUCAUCUCACACUCUAAGCUAUAGCUUCAUCCAACUCAUUUAAUCAUUCAUAACUCCUCAGUCUUCUUCCGUGCAUCAAUAAAAUACUGGACUAUCUCAGUUGCCAAAAACUACCCUUCCUUCCCAUCUAAUCUUCUAUUUGUUGUGGGACUAUAUCUUUUAUCCAGUGUUAUAAAUUUAAUUGGAGUCUCAGAUUGAUGAAAUGAACAUGUGUCAGGCUACUAUCUUAAAGGGAACAUCAUUGGCCUAUGAUCAAAAUGGUUUGAUAUAAAGACCUCUCCUUUCAUUUUUACUAGAGCUUUUAACUUCUGGUAUCUAUUUAAUUUCAAAGCACUUUUUCUGAUGAUAUUCUUAUGAUCUUUUGAUACCAAGAUGUAGCUUCUAAAUCCCAAGUUUGGUUAAUUUAUCUAGGUCCUUUAUCACCAAAUUGAUGUUUGUAAAUGUUCUGUGGGCUCAGACUAUCUAUUAUGUUUGUAAAUUAAAACUUAUUCAUUUUUCUUUUUAUUUUUUAGGUGUUUUUUUCUAUUAUAGUUUAUUUACAUUGUUUUGUCAGUUUCUGCUGUACAGAAAAGUGACCCAGUCAUGUAUAUAUAUGUAUAUGUACAUUUAUAUAUAUAUGUAUACACACACACACAUAUAUAAAUGUACAUAUAUGUACUCCUGUGUACAUUACCCCUCUAUACAGUGGUGACCUGGAGCUGAUGUAGACUGAUGUGUCUCUUCCCAUUUCUGUAUUCAGGGACAUCACUUUGAUAGCUUGAAAUUGACCUACCAGGGAUGGAGUAUUUAUACUGUGAAAAUUAGCAAGCACUACAAAGCAAGGCUUUGUUUUUUGUUUAUUAUGUUUCCAUAGACUCAGUUGUUAAUCAUUUCCAAUAUACCACUGCAUAUCCACUUCCAAAAUUUGUGGGGUUUGCUAGACUGCUUCAAAAUUUUACUUGAGAGCUAGUAUUCUCCCUUUUAGCAUUUAUUUCAUUUCAAAACUCUCUCAUAUAGCAAGCAUUGCUUUAAUAAUUUUUGUCAUUAUAAUUUUCUUUGUGGAAAUUCAUAAUUUUUUUAAUCUAGGGAAUUUAUAAACUUAACCAAGGUAUAACUAGGUAUGUAAUUUUUUCCCCAUUAAUCACAUCUGAAUCUUGGUAACAAUUAUUAAUCUAAAAACUUGUCUUUAUCCAAAGAAAUUUUCUUCUUUUUUAAAAAAAUCAUUUCCCCAUGAAUUUCUUUCUUCUCAGGGCUCUUACUUUUUAGCAUUGUUAAGUUUCUUACCUCCAAAUCUCAUGUCUUUUCCCUCAUACCCUUGGGAUUUUGUUCUUUUGUGCCAUUUGUUCUGCAAAGUCUUCCAAGCCACUGUUUAUGUUCUCAGCAACACCUGUCUUCUUUUAAUUGAGAUUGAAGUUUAGCUCCAGAAAGUCUUAUAUAUUCUGGUUGUAUCUCCUUGAGGAACUUCAGUAUUUUGAGUUCUUUCCCACUCUUUCUUUAAGUUCUAUGGCAAUAGAGCUCCCCACCCCACCCCUUUCGUGGGUCUCUGAUCUCCUUAAAGGAAUUAUUAUUCAUUUGUAUCUUCAUGAUUUAUUUACCUUCAGCACCAAUUCAGGCAGGACUUUGAGGUUCCUGUGACUAUUAAUGGUGGCCAUGAAAACUUCUGCUUAUGCCAGUUGAUAAGCAUUGAGCUGACAGUUGCAACACUGAGACAGGAAGGAAGACUUUCUGGGAAUAAAGAGCAGUCCUCUCCCCCUGAGGGACUGGAAACAGUUCAGCUACCAAAGUAUUUCACCUCCAGGCUGUGAGGUCUGAUAAUCUUCCCCAAGCAUAAGUGCCUUAUGCAAACAGGUCUCUGCUUAUCUGGCUCCCCCCAAAGGCAGGAAGUUUGGAGUUUUCACCCCACAACCCCCUCCACUCUUCCUUAAUGCCACAGGGAACAGAGACCUUGACUCUUAGGUUGGCACACCCUCUCCUGAUUCUGCCAGCAGACUCAAUUGUUCAUUGGGUUUUCCAAGGGAGAAUUUAGAGUAAUGAGUCAGGGAUAUGUU
rnacentral:lncRNA from 1 species